rnacentral:rRNA from 1 species
UUUAGCAGAUAGAGUUUGAUCCUGGCUCAGGACGAACGCUGGCGGCGUGCCUAACACAUGCAAGUCGAGCGAGGCAUUUAUGCCUAGCGGCGGACGGGUGAGUAACACGUGGGUAACCUGCCUCAGAGAGGGGAAUAGCCUUCCGAAAGGAAGAUUAAUACCGCAUAAUAUAUACUUUUAGCAUUAUGAGUAUAUCAAAGGAGAAAUCCGCUUUGAGAUGGGCCCGCGGCGCAUUAGCUAGUUGGAGAGGUAACGGCUCACCAAGGCGACGAUGCGUAGCCGACCUGAGAGGGUGAUCGGCCACAUUGGAACUGAGACACGGUCCAGACUCCUACGGGAGGCAGCAGUGGGGAAUAUUGCACAAUGGGGGAAACCCUGAUGCAGCAACGCCGCGUGAAUGAUGAAGGCCUUCGGGUCGUAAAGUUCUUUGAUUGGGGACGAUAAUGACGGUACCCAAAAAACAAGCCACGGCUAACUACGUGCCAGCAGCCGCGGUAAUACGUAGGUGGCGAGCGUUGUCCGGAUUUACUGGGCGUAAAGGAUGCGUAGGUGGAAAUUUAAGUGGGAUGUGAAAUCCCCGGGCUCAACCCGGGAACUGCAUUCCAAACUGGAUAUCUAGAGUGCAGGAGAGGAAAGCGGAAUUCCUAGUGUAGCGGUGAAAUGCGUAGAUAUUAGGAAGAACACCAGUGGCGAAGGCGGCUUUCUGGACUGUAACUGACACUGAGGCAUGAAAGCGUGGGGAGCAAACAGGAUUAGAUACCCUGGUAGUCCACGCCGUAACGAUGGGUACUAGGUGUAGGGGGUAUCAACUCCCCCCUGUGCCGUCGUUAACACACUAAGUACCCCGCCUGGGGAGUACGGUCGCAAGAUUAAAACUCAAAGGAAUUGACGGGGGCCCGCACAAGCAGCGGAGCAUGUGGUUUAAUUCGAGGCAACGCGAAGAACCUUACCUAGACUUGACAUCUCCUGAAUUACCCUUAAUCGGGGAAGCCCUUCGGGGCAGGAAGACAGGUGGUGCAUGGUUGUCGUCAGCUCGUGUCGUGAGAUGUUGGGUUAAGUCCCGCAACGAGCGCAACCCUUAUUGUCAGUUGCUACCAUUAAGUUGAGCACUCUGGCAAGACUGCCCGGGUUAACCGGGAGGAAGGUGGGGAUGACGUCAAAUCAUCAUGCCCCUUACGUCUAGGGCUACACACGUGCUACAAUGGCAGGUACAAAGAGAAGCGAUCCCGCGAGGAGGAGCAAAUCUCAUAAAACCUGCCCCAGUUCAGAUUGCAGGCUGAAACUCGCCUGCAUGAAGUUGGAGUUGCUAGUAAUCGCGAAUCAGCAUGUCGCGGUGAAUACGUUCCCGGGCCUUGUACACACCGCCCGUCACACCAUGAGAGUUGGCAAUACCCGAAGUCCGUGAGGUAACUAUUUAUAGAGCCAGCGGCCGAAGGUAGGGUCAGCGAUUGGGGUGAAGUCGUAACAAGGUAGCCGUAGGAGAACCUGCGGCUGGAUCACCUCCUUA